rnacentral:lncRNA from 1 species
CUGUCCAGGGUUGCAUCCUUACUGGUGUUUGGGUCAUUGCCCAUGAGUGUGGUCACCAUGCAUUCAGUGACUACCAGCUGCUUGAUGAUAUUGUUGGCCUUAUCCUCCACUCCGCUCUCCUAGUCCCGUACUUUUCAUGGAAAUACAGCCAUCGCCGUCACCACUCCAACACAGGUUCUCUUGAGCGAGAUGAAGUAUUUGUGCCAAAGCAGAAGUCCAGUAUCAUGUGGUACUCUAAAUACCUUAACAAUCCACCAGGCAGAGUCCUCACUCUUGCCGUCACCCUCACGCUUGGUUGGCCCUUGUACUUGGCUUUUAAUGUUUCUGGAAGGCCUUAUGAUAGAUUUGCUUGCCACUAUGACCCUUAUGGUCCCAUUUACUCUGACCGAGAACGACUUCAAAUAUAUAUAUCAGAUGCAGGAGUACUUGCAGUAUGCUAUGGCCUUUUCUGUCUUGCCAUGGCAAAAGGGCUUGCCUGGGUGGUGUGUGUUUAUGGAGUUCCAUUGCUUGUGGUCAAUGGAUUUUUGGUGUUGAUUACAUUUUUGCAGCACACUCACCCUGCAUUGCCACACUACACUUCCUCUGAGUGGGACUGGUUGAGAGGAGCUUUAGCAACAGUGGAUAGAGAUUAUGGAAUCCUGAACAAGGUCUUCCAUAAUAUUACAGACACUCAUGUAGCUCAUCACUUGUUCUCCACAAUGCCACAUUAUCAUGCAAUGGAGGCGACAAAGGCAAUAAAGCCCAUCUUGGGAGAGUAUUAUCGGUUUGAUGGGACUCCAUUUGUCAAGGCAAUGUGGAGAGAGGCAAGAGAGUGUAUUUAUGUGGAGCCAGAUCAAAGUACUCAGAGCAAAGGUGUAUUUUGGUACAACAAUAAGUUGUGAUGAUUAAUGUAGCCGGGGGCUUCUUGUCCGUCAGGUGGGAUGGUUUGAACUUUCCUUUGUGACUGUUUAGUAUCAUGCUUGCUUAUUGGGAAUAAUUUUGUUGAACCCUGAUGUUGGUAGUAGUAUCUAGAAAGUAGCAUAGCGUUUUUGUUUGCAGAAUAAGAUAUAGCAUCUCUGAACAGUUUGAUUAUUGCACCAUGUUUUGCAAUCAGUGCAUGUCGACUAAGUUUCUCAAGAUUGUGGGGAUGCUUAUUCUUGUUCCAGUUCUUGAAUCCAAGUUGUUAUCAUAUUCUGUUAUUGACUCAGAAUCUUUAACCCUUUCUGCUUCUUUCUCACGAUCGUUUGAAGUCAUUACUCGCAAAUGAUUUACAUUUCAAAUUUAGGGUGCAGAUUAUUAAUUAUUGAACUUGUUUUUUUUAAUGUUGUGGGGGCAUAUAUGUAGCUUCAACGUUUGACGUUUUUAAAAUUAGUUUGUAUUCUGUGAACACGUUGCGCCUCAGUAGGUCCGGGUUUGAUUGAAUCCCAAGUCUCCUGUCCAAUAUGUGGACGGUGUUCCAUUUACCAAUUCCAAGCCAAGCUAUUUUAUCACCAAAAAAAAAAGGUUAAAGUAGCUUAUAAAACUACUAUAACGAUUUUCCAACACGUUCAAUAAUUAAUAUGAUAUUGGAUGUAUUUUUUAUGACUUACAUUUUUUUAUUUAUUUAAAUAAUGCUAAAGUUAUUUUUAUAUUAUUAAUUAUUAAUCUAAAAAUACUGAAUCUGUGAUUUCAAAUAAACGGUUAAUGAAAAUAAUGUUAAAUCGUUAAUGUAAUUUAAAAGUACAUACUUAUAAAACACUUUUUUUGUAUUUAAAAUUGUGAAGAUGGUUUUUCUAACUUCAAAACAUUCAAAUCCUUAACGUAAGAGGAGAUAACUAUUAGGUACUGUUUUUACUGUUGUCUAAUUAUAUUAGAACACGUAUACUAUUUUUUCCAUGUCAUCAAAACUGAGUCUUAACACCGCAAGCUGUUUUCUUUUGAUGGGAUCACAUUUGCCAAACAACCUUUGCAUUCCUUCAUGUCAGAUGUGGCAACCUCAGUGAGGCCAUAUUCUGCAUCCACGCUAGCGCCACAAUGAUAUGCAUCAAGGGCGAGGUUGGCACACGUUGCCCACUUUGUUAGCGGCGGCGUCGCCACCCCUACCGGCGCCGACCAUAUUAUGCAGUUAAGAGCGGUGACCCCAAUGAAACGUUUCGGGACGAUUAUGCAGGUCUCACCACUUCAUGUGCUCUGCAACUUAGAUGCGGGAUCACCAAUGAUUCUUCUCAAGUUCGUUGCUUUGCACUACUACCCUUGAUUAUGGAUUAAGGGUUUCUAGAAAAGGAUUUCACAAAUUGGAAAAAGUGGAGCUAAGGUCCUGAAUUGGAAUAAAUUCAGAAAUUGAAGACAAUGGUGGUACAUGCAUUGAUGCCACAAAGAGAGGAUGACCGGAGAAUGACAGUAUUGCUACAAAGAGAAAUUGUAGGUCAAUUUUGUCCUUUGCUAAAAACCAAUGAGCAUUAUUAUUAUCAUAACAAAAAAAAAAAUUGCAAACAUAAUUAAAAUAUACAAUGGAGAUGCGGGGGAUCGAACCCCGUGCCUCUCGCAUGCAAAGCGAGCGCUCUACCAUUUGAGCUACAUCCCCGUUGAUACUUUCAGCUUAACUUAAUAUAAUAACAAAUUAAUAACUUAAGUUGAAUAUUUAUAUGAUGUAGUUCUUGCCAAGUCGAAAGAAACAAACAAUUGGAGCGAGGCAAGUGUUCCCGCCAUGGGAAUGGAGCGAGUGCAGUGUGCCUAUGCCUCUCUGGUUCAUCUCUCUCUCUCUCUCUCUGCAUUGUGAUUUGUUGAUGAAUGUGCUAAUUUGAUUUUCUAUGACGCAGGACGAAGCGUUCGAAAUAGGGAAAGAGACGUAUCAGGGUCAGCAAUACAGCCAGAUUUACUUCGCGCGCCUUCAUUUGAUGCGAACACUCUUGUAUUCCCUCAUUCCUCAUUGGAAACCCAAUUCUCCCGGUACCCUACCCUCCCUUUUUCUCAAAUUCACCACCUUUUUCUACUAUCUCCCACUUAGGUUAACAUCAUGUUUGUGUGUGGUGUGGUUUUCGUUGCUUUGAGGCUUCAAUUAGUUAUUUUCCGGUUUCUGUUUUCUACAGUGUGCACGGUGCUGGGAUUGGAAGAGGGCAAGGAGUGUGUCAUUGUUGGAACCCUCUAUAAACACAUGAAGCUCAAACCUUGCAUUCUUGAUGAGUAUUCUAAGGAGGUAAACUCUCGGUUCUACUUUAUUACUAUCUCCAAUUAUAUUGCAUGAGUACUUGUACAUAUUAUAACUUUAUUAGUAAACUGUAAAAAAAUAUAUUUUAAAGAAGAUUAAGAGUAAAUAAUAAAUGCGCUAACAAUGUAAAAGCAUUCUUACAUGUUUACGGUUUAUCCCAUAACAAAUUGGCAUGUAUGAUAAGUUGUUGACUUUUAUACUGACUACCUUAAAAGUCGUAUCAACAUUGGUUUCUGAUUGGUUGACAAUGUAAAUAUAGAAAUUAAACUCAAAGAUUAGUUUAAUUGAUUGAAAAUUAUUUUAGCGAUGAUAAAAUUAUUAAAAUACUGGCAUUUGAAACAUUCAGUUUUGGAAAAUCUUAAAAUUUAGUUAGUUUGUGUUGACGAUGAUUUGCAAACAUAUCAUUAUGUUAGUGUUACUUGUAGAAAUUUGAGUAUUUGAUAAGAAAAGCAAAAAUGUUUUUUGGGUGAAUACUAAUUAAAGAGGAAAAAUAUUGACUUGAUUUAAUGCAAAAGCUCUUGUGCCAUGGGACUAUGUGAGGAGAGUAUGCACGUAGACGUGGGUCAUUCUACUCUCCAGAGUGAGGACUUGAAUUUGUUAUAUAUGGGUGAUUUUAUGCUUUCUUUGUAUGAAAAUUGAUAAUAAUGUGCCAUGGUGUUGUAUUUCACUAUUUUUCUGCCAAUAAUGUACAGAGAUCAGUGGUUCCACUCGUCAAGCCACAUAACUUCAUACACCCGGAUGAUCACCUAGUUUUGGAAGAUGAAAGUGGGCGGGUUAAGCUCAGUGGGUAUAUCAUUUCGCCAUCUGAAUAUGUAACAGGUCUAUAUGAUGAACAAUUUAUCUUAAUUCACUAAAAUAGAUUUUGUGAUAAGAAGGCAAGGUUUGGUAUCCUCAAUUUUUUCCUUCCUUCAUUUUUUUUUUUUUUGAUGUGGGUGUGAACGGGUGAUUCAAACAAUAUUGUAUUUAUUUGUUUUCAGAUUUGUUUAAUAUUUAUCUGAGCUAUCUAGAAAUAAAACAUGUAGCUUAAUGAUAUUCAUUCUCAUAGGAAUUGCAACUUGUCUGCCAUACGAAUGACUGUCAUCUUGGACAUGAUCAUUUUAUGCUAACAUUGUCUUGACAGGAAUUGUGGUUGCUUUACUUGGAAAGGAAACGGGGGCAGGCGACUUUUUGGUUCAGGAUGUCCUACAAGCUGGCUUACCACCACAGAUAGAAUUUCCCCUUAAAUCAAGUACCUCUUCUUUAUCUUUUACAUGUUAUAACCCACUAACGCACACACAUGGCAUCAUUAUGGGAUUUUUUUGCCCAGAUCUUAGCCACAAAUGGUAGACUAUGAUUUCCCAUUUGAGGAUGCAUGAAUAUGUGGUGAAUUAGCAUCCCACACCCACUUUCCUGCAUGAAGUGUUGUUUUUGUUAUCUAUAUAAUAUUUUUUCAGAACUUGUGGUGUUUGAAAAUUUUAUUAUUCAUAGUCAGCAAGCAUAAAUAGCCUUCUGUUUCCCUUCUUUAGCAUAGUCUCUUUCCAUUUGAUUGCAUAUGAUUUUAAUUGUAUUUUCUGGAGUUAAAGAAACUAGUUUCUUAUCUUUCUCUUUAUAUAGUCAAACUUUAAAAAGUUAUCCAGCAUCAUAAUUCAAAUAUGUUGCUUGCUGUAUGCUUCAUUUCCUCCUGCUUGUGUUAAUGCACGGAUGAUGUGCAAUAGCCUUGCCAUUUUGUUCUUUUAACUGUGCAUCUUUGAUGCUCCAUACUUCAUUAUUUGUUAUUAACAUUUCCAUUUUUAUUAAAAAUAUUGGCUUAAAAUUUUCUUUUAUUUGGAUUCAACAGGGGAAGACAAAUAUGUUGUUCUUGUGUCAGGGUUAAGUGUUGGGAGCAGCAGCUCUAAUCCUCUUCAGUUUCAGCUUCUCAUUGAUCAUAUUACAGGGCAUUUAGGAGAUGAGAAGGUUUAUUCUUCUUUUCUCUCAACUUUCUCAUGUUGAUAAUUAUGUAACAUUUCAAAGUUUUAACUAAUCAAAAGUGACAAAUUAAACAGGAGCAAAGUAUUGCAUCACAAAUUGCUCAAGUUGUCUUUGCUGGAAAUUUAAUUGAGAUACCUCACAGACUUCUUAAUGGACAGGUAUUUAUGUUACUGUAUAGGGAGAGAGAGAGAGAGGAAAAUAAAAGGAUUACAGAGAGAAACCUUUACUUCUGCAUAUGUCAUUUACUACUUGCCAGAGCUUUACAGUGUAAGGACAGAUCUAAUUGUAGGGAAAGAAUAGUACAAAUAUGUGACAAUGCGUAGUACAAAAGUAAUAUAAUAGACUAAUAACCAGCACUAAUAUCUCAACGAAUUCAACAUGAGUUUCUUUAAUGAUAAUGCAUUUAAUUUCUACUAUUUGGUUUCCUAUGCUAAUAUUUUUUUCUUUAACAAGUUUAAACAAUGCACUCAACAUAAGUAUUGUAAUAAAGUAAACACCUUCAUUUCAUGCAUUAAGAAAAUAUCACCGACUCUUCUCUCUGUUGUAAUUUGUGUUGUAUCAUCACCAUUUAACUUUCUCUGGUAUCUGAAUUCCUUGAUUACACUUGCUUUCUCUUAUGUGAUUAGAUUUCUAUAGUAAUGCACAUUUGUAGAGGAAUAUAAUAUAAUAAUCUGAUACAUGUUCUAAAGAAUAAUUAGAUGAGAGGAACUAAGUUGUCCAGCUACUUCUUAACUUAUUAGAGUUGCAUUUUAGAUUUAGACACUCUGGUUGAUUAUCUCAUGUCUUGAUUGAUAUCUUGGUGCUAGACAACACACAUUGCACAUUUAUGUCUUCCAAUUUUCUAUAUAGUUUAUUGGCACUAAUCCUGGUUAUACAUACAAACUAGUGAAAAUUUUGAAUUCAUAGGUUGUCAUUUGAUAUUUCUAAAGUGUGGAAUUUAUAGGGUUGAUGGCCCAAACAAUCCAAACCUGCACCACAUUGGACUUGGACCCAAAAAGGCCUAGAUCUGAAAGAUUUAUGUUAGGAAGAGAAAAGUUGGUCCUGAUUCUUAGUUCGUUUUGCUGAAUUGGAAGAAUUAGUUGUGUAUUGGCAUAAAUUCUGAAAUCUGGGUGGGAGGUUAUAGGGAGUUGAGUUUUGGAGUGAAGGGAGUUAGUUAUUUUUUACUAUUGCUUUUGGCACGGGUUGUGAGCAGACAAGCUUGUUUCUUUGAGUAGCAUUCUGCUCUGGAGUCUCUUAUGUAAAAUUUAAGUGGGAAAGACAAAUAAACAGAAAUACAGAAAGGAAGGGGAACAGAGAAGAACAGAGAGAUCAAAGAAGCUGUGCACUGCACUUCUGUUAUUAUUAUUCCAGCCUGUCUAAAAUGCAACAGCCCUACUUUAUUUAUAGGCAGCUACCCGACAACUAAGAAAUAACAGUAGCUGACUAACUAACUGACAUCCUUUUCUUUUACAUAUCAGUCUCCUUUCGCUUAUAACAGCUCAUCAUGGAGCUGAUUUCAGUAAAUAAUACAAGCAGUUUUCUGGAAUUUAAUCGCUAGUUCCUAACUUCAUUUAUGGGCCUUUUCAUCAAUAUUUGCAGAAUUUGGCUUCAAAGGAUCUCUCAAGAAUGGCUGAGCCAAUAAAGGAGCUAGAUAUUCUGUUGAGUCAGGUUCAUUUCAUUAGCUUGGUUCUUAUAUUUUAGUUCUUGUUUUUCUAAAUAAUUUGCUUAACUUUUACUUGCUUUUCAGAUAGCUGCUGGUUUGCCUUUGGAUAUCAUGCCAGGACCCAGUGACCCUGCUAAUUUCUCAUUACCACAGCAGGUCCUUAUGUUAUCCUUUAAGGGUUAUAUAUGGCAUAUUAACACGUGUUGUUUGACAUUAUUACUAAAAUUAUCACUUUCAGUCAUUGCAUAGAUGCCUUUUCCCUGGGUCGUCAACGUAUAAUACUUUUAGAUCUUGUACAAAUCCUCAUUGUUUUGAGCUUGAUAAUGUCAGGUAAAUAGGUUAUUCUCAAUAUUACUCUCUUUGAUGUUAAAUCUACUAUACCUCGAACAUGAUCCCCACACUGCUUCCAGGUUUCUUGGGACAUCCGGCCAAAAUGUAGAUGAUCUUGAGAAGUAUUCAGAGGCAAAAGAUAAACUUGAAUUCAUGGAAAGGACAUUAAGAUGGAGGCAUUUGGCACCCACUGCACCUAAUACUCUUGGUAUGUACAUUAUAUAUGCCUCAAUGCUUUUACACUUCCUUGGUUAUCAAUAAUCUGUCAUUUUUCGCUUAGGUCAGCCAAUUUUUCUUGAAGUUUGAACAUUAAUUAGAUUACCUGCUAUUUCUGAAGAAGUCUCAACUUCUUAAAAAAAAUGAAUAUUUAGUUAUUCUGACUUCUGAUUGUGACUGUUGUCUUCCAGGAUGCUAUCCUUAUACUGAUAAGGAUCCUUUCUUCAUUGAGAGCUGUCCUCAUGUUUACUUUAUUGGAAAUCAAGAUAAAUUUGAAACUCGUGUCAUAAAGGGUAUUUUCAUUCUAAAAUCUACAUUGCAGAAAUGAAAGUUACUUCGUUUCUGAUUUGCAUUUACUAUAAUAUCCCUUCCCUAAAACUUUAAUCAAUUUUUCAUGUUGAUUGCAGGAUCAGAAGGGCAGUUGGUGAGACUCGUAUGUGUUCCUAAAUUCAGUGAAACUGGAGUUGCUGUUAUGGUGAGCUCCAAAUCUCACACACUUAAUGUUAACUUAGAUAUGGUCCGGUGUCUUCUAGGAUGGCCUUUUAUACUUGUAUAAAUGUGGCCUUUAAUACAUGCACAAAUAUAUUACUCCAUUAGCAUGUCAGUAACAUGUCUCUGGUCAGGUGUUUAAGGUAACAUAUUACUCCAUUAGUUGAAUGUACUAAUGAGAUUCACUUUAGGCAUUUCUUUGUACUCAACUAAAACAGGUUUCUGUAAAUGAUUAACUGCCUGAAAAUAUGGUUCUUGGCUAGAAUUUCAAUGCUAUCUUUCUUGCUGCUUUUCUCCCUUCUAUUAUAUAAUAAAGCAAUUUUUAAAAGCUCAAUUAAAAGAAAGCACAUCCAAAAACUAUGUUUUUAUUCUUUUGUUCAAAUCUUCCAUACAUAAAGGGUUCUCUUUGGAGAAAAUCAUGGAAGGUUUUGGUAUGAGACAAAGAUUGGUUAAUUGGGCACAUCCAAUUAUUUUGGUUAUGGAUUGGGCAUGAGACCAAUAGGUUUUGGUAUGUAGAUUGUCUUUUCUUUCCCUACUAUAAUGGAAAGCAGUGAUGUUGCCUGAAAGUCCUCCAAGCCUCAGCUAUAAGAUGGCUGAUAUUGUUCCCAGUUGGGUUGAAGGUGAUACUUGUAAAUAUGUAAUUUUUAACUAUCAAUGAAUCAAGUAAUAAGUCCAUGCUGCAAACUUUUAAGCUUGUGUUAUUUACUUUGUUAAUAUGCCAUGAACUUCACUGAUCUAAUCAGUUAUCUCUUGCUUUCUCCUCCAAGAAGGUAGAAGUUUUAGUUCAAUCCUACUUGGUUGCCACUGAUGCAGUUCUAGAAUCAUCCAUAUUUGAUAAAAAUGUAGUCAAUAGAAAUAUUAGUGGUAGGAUUAUGACUGCGGAGGGGUUGUUUUCCUUGCUUAAUGUUUGGUUGUGAUAUAAUAGCUGGUUUCUUCUGAUGUAAUUCUUCUUGCUGACUUGUGAAUUUUUUUUUUUUUAUUUGCAGCUAAAUCUGAGGGACCUUGAUUGUUAUGCUCUCAGUUUUGGAACUCAAUUCAGCUCAUAAGAAUGCAGAAUGAAGUUGUUGUGGUAUUUAAAUUUGUAAGCUUCUAAAUUUUGAACAGUUCUAGCAUGAGCGUAGUGUUUAUACAAUUAUAGCUUCUCUAAACUGAGAAAAUGUAUCUUGUAAAAACUGCUCAUAGGAACAUUCUCAUGUAAAAACUGCUCUUAAAUUAGUAGUUAGUGUGGCUUCUCCACAAUUAUAAAUACAGAUACAACUUACUUAAAUUCAUCUGAUUUCUAAGUCUAGUGUGUCAAGUUUAAUCUCAAAUGGUUUUGGUAGUUAAUCUGAACAUGUAGGUUUCAUAAUUGAAACUUUUUUUUUUGUUUGUCUGGGAGCAUCGAGAAACAGUGUGGUUUCCCCACUAUAAUAAUUACAGAUAUAAUUUACCUAAAUUAAUUUGAUUUCGAUGGCUAAUGCCAUUUUCUUUUUCUCCCUUGAAUAGACUUGAAGUUUGAAUGUGCCAUCCAGUGUAUAUGUACACAUAUGAUUCACAUUUACAUCCAGGCACGACAAAUAGGAACAGUUUCUUAUAGUAAUCUCAUAAUACAGGUUUUGGAAGUUUGUUCAUGGUGCUGUUAUUGGUGUAUCUUGGGACAUCAGCCAAGAACUGAAAAUUGAAGCUGACAGUUGAGGAAGGCUAUCUGCGUUUCUUUAGUGCAAUAUAUUUUUGUAAUAUUGAUAUAUAUUGACUUCUAUGUUUAUUUUUCUUAUUAGUUUUCAAUGUAACAUAGUAUUUAUACAUUAGUUGAUAAUCGGUUUGCACUAGGAUGGAAGUCAAUAUUAUUGGUUUGGUCUUAACUUGGCUGGUUCAAGAGGAAUCAAUCAUCUGAUGGUAGAAUCUGACUCUUUUAGCCAUUAAGAUGAUCAAGGAUGGCUGCUUAGACACCCACCUGAGUGCGCCUCUAGUCAAAUCUGUUCUUUCUUGGAAUAAGUAGCUGAUGCUUUAUCCAAGCAUGGUCUUUCCUUAGUAGAUAGAUUGUUUUUUAUUCAGUUCCGGUUUUUCUUUAUGUAAGACGUGCUGAUGUGUUGUCUACGACCUUCCCUCGUGGGUUAGUUUUCUUCUUAAAGCUUAGUUCUACCUCCUUUGAAGGUGGCCUAAUAUUCCUUACUGAUGUUGUAGCUUAAACAAUUUCGUUCUUCUAAUAGGGAAAAUAAAAUAAUGCUUCAAUGUGUUGAAAGUCAAAAGGAAUAAAGCUACUUUGAUCAAUUUUUCCUUACAAGCAAUGGGCAUGUCUAGCUUUGCUACUAAUGUUACUACUACAAUCUAUUAGGAUCCACUUGAUAGCGGAGAAUUUGACUAGCUUAUAAAAGGUUUUAGGUUCUAACUUGAUUAUUUACCCAAGCAAAUAAGGAAAAAAAAUGUAAUUUUCACGCGGCAGGGUGAAGAAGAAACCACAAUCCACAAGGAGAAAAAUUGCCAAUGAUCUUGUGAUAAUAGGAACAUCCGUUGGAGUAAUUUUAAAGAACAUUUUCUUACCUUUAAAAAGGUGAACAUUUUUCUAUUUCAAAUAUUUCAUUAAUUUUUAUUUAUAUUUUCACUGUCAUAUCACUUUUUCUUUCUUUUAUCUCAUUCUCUUACUGGGUCAAACUCAUCUUGCAGAUAAAUUUACGAGAAACCAAGUUUCUCAACUGAACGGCCGGGUAUAAUGUCGCUAAAGUGAGAUAUUGGACCUUUUAAGUAGUAAAACUUCUGUUUGUGACUUUUAAAUUAGAAAUUAUAUUUUGAGACGUGUGUAUACUAAAAAGAUUAAACGUAAGUGAGAAAAUAAUUAUCUAUAAUAUUAAAGAUAAUUUAUUUAUUUGAUGUUUAAAUAGUAAAAUUAUUUAUAAAUUAUAUUUUUUAAUUUAGUUAAAAUAUAUUGAUAGCCUUUAAAAAAUUAAAAUAUAUUGAUAAGUAUUUUUUUUACAUUGGCAUAUACGUUUAUACAUAAUAAUAUAUGAUAAAAAUUGUUAGUUUUUAUAAAAAUUACUUAAAAGAUAUAUCUAAGAUAAGUUUUAAUUGAUUAAUAGUAUAAAAAUCUUUGUACUAAUUAUAUAUGAAGAUUAAAUAUAUUUUUUUUUAUAGAUUUUACUUUAACAAUUUUUUUACAUAAAUCUCCCAUGGCGAAAUAACCAAUAGGCAUAUGAAUAAUUUUAUAUGAGAUAAAAAUAUCUGUUAGAGUAAAAUGAUUUUUUUAACUGCAUAGCCAUAUUAUCGGUAAAAAUUAUAAACUACUUUAUUUUGGUAUAAUAAAAUUAUAAACUACUCGAAGUUAAUUUUUUUUUACAUAUUUUCUUUUCUCUUUUACACACAUUAUUUUUACAAUUAUUUUAAAAUUUACUCUUCUCCCAUUUCAAACUAGUCUUUAAAAUAAAUUUUCAAUAGUUAAAUAUAGUCUUAUAUUACAAUUUAAAUUAUUAAUUAUAAAUUCAAAAUAUAAUUUAUAAUAAUUAAAUAGUAAAAUUUGUUCAUGAAGACGUGAAAUAUUGAUAAAUUGGUCCCUAUAAAAAUAAAAAAAAUUUAAAUUUAAUAAAAAAAAUUAUAAAAAUAAUCUGAUAGACAGUUUUAUCUCUAAACUUAAUAAUUUAAUGUGAAACAAACUCUUAAAAAUAUAACUUUAAGUGUAAAAUUAUUGUUUAAAUAUAUGACAAAAAGACCAUAACGUGUAACAAUGGGGACUAAUACGUGGCACUUUCUUUACAAAUUUGGGUAUUUGGUAACUAGUAAGAUCACUAUCAGUACUAUCGCGCACUACUUACUUCUGUUGGAACGAGAGCCCCUCUCUCUGCGACUCUGCUUCGGUUCUUCCUUCAGUUCAGUGAGUACAUUUGAUUUUGUUUUAUUUUCUUUGAAUAUUAUUUAUUUUCUAGUUGUGCGCUGAGUUGUUAUUUUGAGUUUUCUAAACUCUAGUGUUCCAUUGCAGCAAAGUUUGGAUUCUUUGAAUCAAUAAUUUAGGUCAAGUUUUAUAGAGGACAAUUUUCCAAAACUAUUUUGUUUUGUUCUUUUCGAUUGCUUUUAAUAUUUGUAGUAACAAAGCAAGCAUUGAUACGUUAUGUAUGGCUGUGAAAUGGUUCUAAAUUGCGGUUGCAGUUUUGUCGCGAUCCUUGACAUUGUGAGAAAUUGUGGUCGCGAACCGCAAUUUAGAACCAUUGUCAUUGAUGCAAUGCUAGCUAAAUAAACUGUCUCCGUUAAGUUAAUCGAUGUUUAAGAACAGUAGAUUGAUAUUAUAAUUGUUGUUGUUCUGAAGCAGCCAGCUGCAGACAAUGGCAGACAAGAAGCGGAAGGAGAGGAAUGAAGGCAACCGCCAAAGACCGAAGUCGAAGAAGAAGCGGCCAAACACUCAACAGAAGGAGAGGGGCCCUUGUUUGCCCUCAUCUUUGCAAAAACAGCUUGACUGUUUAAACCCUACCACUUCCUUUGACAGCAUUGAUUCUGACGACUACAAUGACAAUGAUGUACACGAGUACAAGGAAGAACGAGCUGAGGAGGUGUCCACCAAGAAUAAGCGUUACAACCCUGGUUUUGUCGUCCAGGAUGACCUUUCUCAUCAAUUUGAGGAUGAGAAUGCGUAAUCUGAUGUUGAAAGUGAGGAUGAUGAUUACUCGAAUGAAAAUGCUCUUAGUGACGAUUCUGGAGAGGAAGAUGAUGGAAGGCACACAAGGAUGCUACAAGCAAUUACUAGCAUGCCAAGUGAGGCUUUUCAAGGUAAGAAAAUUGCUGUUAAACUUUUGUGUUACUCAUUAUUUAUGCUAGAAGUUAGAACUUAGAGGCACUCUGUCAAUUUUCUUCUGUAUAUAUUGGAGAACAGAAUUAGUUAUUAGAGAUGCAUAUGAACAAAUUUUUAAUCUUUCUUUAUAGUGUCUAACAUGACACAUUUAAUAGCUUCAUACAAAUGUUAUAUUUUAACAAUGCAACUGUUGAAUUAUAUGAUAUUAUACUAAUGAUCAUCUAUACCAAAUUUUAAAUAAUUUAGUCAUUCAUAGAUUUGCAAUCUAUUAGUAGAAUUUAAUUAUAUUUUUAAUAAUAGAUAAUAUGUUAAAAUAAAGUGAUGUGAUGAAAUAUCAAUUUUGAAAUUAUAUGAAAUUACACACUUGAUCUUUCCCAUGAGAACUUUCUAUGUAAAAGUUGGAUUGAUAAAGUUUAACAUUUUUUAAAAGUUAUAGAAGAUCUCAAUUUGUCAAGUUUGACAUUCAGUGUCAAUUGAUCCUUUAUAUAUAUAUAAUUUUGGCGAUAUGUGGGAGGAAUGCCAAAGCAGUUUUUAUACAUGAAUGGUUCCCAGACAGAAUCCUGCUGUUGUUGCUCUUUCUAUUGUGUUUUCAGAACCAUGAUAUGAUAGGCUUAUAAAUUUUAAUCACAAUGCAGAGAAUAACAAAAGGAAGAUGAUGAAUUCUGUUAUUCCUUCUUUCUGUGAUUGUGUGUUGGGGCAGCUAGUCCAUGUUUAGCAGCAGCCUUAUGUGCCUAGGUUCCUCUAUAAAUAAUGAUCAUGCAAUGGGAAUGAAAAUAUAUGAGAAAAAGUUAUCUUCAUUCUUCUUUUGCUUAUUUUAUCUUUUUGCAUUUCUGUUUAGUAGCUUCACAACUGGUUCGACCUGGCAGCCACCACUUUCCAUCAUGCCCGAACAUAAUACCAGACAAACAACCACUGACCACCUGGAAGAGGCUGUCAAUCGCCUUACCUAGGGACAGACCACUGUGGCCCAAAACCAUGCUGCAUUAUCCCAAGCUUAGUCCGUAGUGAAUAUUAAAAUUGAUUCAAUCCUCGAAUGUCUGGUAGCAAUCACUACCACUCCCACAUCUCUGAAAUCACCACCAACCCCAUCUCCACCCCCACCUUCUUGACCUCACAUGAAAUUAGAGGCGCCAUGGUUUGACGGACAGGAUCCUAUGGGAUAAAUCUUUCAAAUUUCUCAGUUCUUCGAUUAUCAAGGUUUACCGGAUCACGAGAGACUCACGGUGGCGUCGUUCUACAUGGAGGGACUGGCAUUAUGCUAGUACCAGUGGAUGUCUCAAAACGGGUUCCUCACUUCGUGGCCGGCGAUGCUUUGGGCCUUGGGGUCCCGUUUCGCCCCCUCAUUUUACGACAAUCCGUAGGAUGCCUUGUUCAAAUUGCAACAGCGAGGCACCGCCAAUGACUACCUGACGGAAUUUGAACGUCUAGCAAACCAGAUCGUGGGCCUCGGCCCUCCAUUCCUAUUGAGCUGUUUCAUUUCCGGUUUGACCCUGGAACUCCGUUGGGAGGUACAGGCCUCCAGCCAUUGUCUCUUCCUCAGGCAGUUGCCUUAGCCAAACUCCAGGAAGACAAAUUCAACGACAGGCGCCGCGGACCUCGGCCUGCAACUUCAUUUUCCUCCCAGAAUCCGCCAUCGCCGACACCAACUACCGCAGGAUCUUCAACUCCGUCCAGCUCCAAGAUUCCCUUCAACGAUUAACACUAGAGGAAAUGGUUGUUUGCAGAGACAAAGGUAUAUGCUAUCACUGUGACGAGAAAUGGAUUCUUGAUCACAAAUGCAAGCUACGUCUCCACCUGUUCAUUGCAAACUUGGAACCCAGUGUUCAGGAUUUCCCUCAGGGGACACUUCUUCUGACAACUUAGCACCCCUCGAUCAUGAACCCAAUUCUUUUCCUCAGAUAAGUCUCAACGCACUAGCAGGGAUGCUGGCACCAGAGAAUUUUUGCAUAUAUGGCUCCAUCCACCACCACAGUGUCGUGAUUUUGGUUGACGGAGGCAGCACAUACAACUUCAUCCAGUCGCGAAUGGCCAAGUUCCUCAAUCUGUUGUCGUUGCCAACAACUGCACUCCAGGUGAUGGUGGAUAACGAUAGUAUUCUCGACUGCAACACCACUUCCCCUUAGGUAUCCAUUACCGUUCAAGGUCACACAUUCACCCUCAACCUUUAUCACCUUCCCCUCAGCAGUGCAGACAUAGUUUUGGGGGUUCAAUGGCUAAAGUUACUAGGCUCAGUCACCAUGGACUACACCAACCUCACCGUGUCAUUUUUGUAUUUGGGCUAGCCCAUCAACCUUUUCGCAGAUGUCCCUUUCUCCCUUUCCACUGCUUCAAACCAACAGCUUAAGCGGUUUGCCUAGACCCUGAGCAUUUUCGCUUUGUUUCACUUAUCGCCAGUUCCGGCCCUAGCCCAACCUUCCUCUUCCCUACAACCCCCCACAGACCAAAACACACCCCCAGCCACCACCUCCCUCCUCAUCCAAUUCGAUGAGCUUUUCCACGAACCUCACUCCCUUCCUCCGACCCACUCCAUUGCACACCAUUGCUAAAAUUUACAUGUUAAGCUACUAAACAGAAAUGCAGAAAGAUAAAAGAAACAAAAGAAGAAUAAAGAUAACUUUUUCUCAUAUAUUUUCAUUCUCAUUGCAUAAUCAUUAUUUAUAGAGGAACCUAGGCUCAUAGGGUUGCUACUAAACAUGGAUCAGCUGCCCGCGUGCAAUCACAGAGAGAAGGAAUAGCAUGAUUCGUAUAUUUUUGUUAUAACAGAAUCUGAUUUGGUGAUAAUGAAAUUAGUGGAUAAGACAAUGGGAAUAUGCUGCUGUUUGUCCUUUCCCCACAUGGUUAAACAUAGUCACUGAGGUGGGUUGGCCUCUUAGUGUUCCUUUUGGGUCUGCUAGUGGGCAACAUACUGAUAUUUCUAACAACUCCCCCAUCUGGGAAAACAACCUUGUCCUCAAGGUUAUAAGAAUCCCGUAAACUAUCUCAAUUCUCCCACCGUGGUAUCUUCUGGGGCCAAAACUCGCCCAUCACACCAGAAUGAGUUUGGUUGGCCAAACCCAAAAGGAG